AUUGAACGCUGGCGGCAGGCCUAACACAUGCAAGUCGAACGAGUGGCGGACGGGUGAGACAUGUCUGGGAAACUCCCUGAUGGCGGGGGAAACCUACUGGAAACGGUAGCUAAUACCGCAUACCAUCGGAUGUGCCCAGAUGGGAUUAGCUAGUAGGUGGGGUAAAGGCUAACCAAGGCGACGAUCCCUAGCUGGUAUGAGAGGAUGACCAGCCACACUGGAACUGAGACACGGUCCAGACUCCUACGGGAGGCAGCAGUGGGGAAUAUUGCACAAUGGGCGAAAGCCUGAUGGAGCCAUGCCGCGUGUAUGAAGAAGGCCUUCGGGUUGUAAAGUACUUUCAGCGGGGAGGCGUUACCCGCACAAGAAGCCCCGGCUAACUCCGUGCCAGCAGCCGCGGUAAUAC
rnacentral:rRNA from 1 species